rnacentral:rRNA from 1 species
AGAGUUUGAUUCUGGCUCAGGAUGAACGCUGGCGGCGUGCCUAACACAUUCAAGGUCGAACGAGCCGUAGAAAUACGGCGAGUGGCGGACGGGUGAGUAACGCGUAAGCAAUCGUGCCUUUGUGUAGUGGAAUAACAACCGGAAACGGUUGCUAAUACCGCAUGACGCAGAGGGAUCGCAUGGUCUUUCUGCCAAAGAUUUAUCGCACGAAGAUGAGCUUGCGUCCGAUUAGAUAGUUGGCGGGGCAACGGCCCACCAAGUCUACGAUCGGUAGCCGGACUGAGAGGUUGAACGGCCACAUUGGAACUGAGAUACGGUCCAGACUCCUACGGGAGGCAGCAGUGGGGAAUAUUGGGCAAUGGACGGAAGUCUGACCCAGCGACGCCGCGUGAGGGAAGAAGGUCUUCGGAUUGUAAACCUUAGUCAACAGGGACGAAGCAAGUGACGGUACCUGUGGAGGAAGCCACGGCUAACUACGUGCCAGCCGCGGC